GCAGGAUGGUCCCUCUGGAGCAAGGUGAUCCAUGUGGAACAGGGAGCUCCAUCCAGCCCAUGAUGCUGCUGAACAUUCCCAGCUCCCAGACACAUCCCAGCCCUGUUCUCCAGGGCACAGCUCCUCCUGAGCCCCAGCCAGGCCCCGUCUGUCCCCUGUCAAAGCAGCAGCGUUGGUUUUAGGCCAGUCCUUGUGUGUCCUCAGGCCAGGCCUAAGCUCCUCGUGCUCCAUCAGGAUGUGCUGGGGGCGUUGUGCCACCCACCCUCACCAAACCAAGCCCAAGAGUUGAGUUAUUCGAGGCUUGUGACUAAAACUGGGCCUAGCAAGGGGUCUGCCACUAAAACCUGCUUUCCUGACUAAACCCACGAUAAAACUGGCCCUAUAAACAAUGAAUCAUUCAUGGAUUUGCAGCUCCACGCUCCUGGAAUGCCAAUGGGAAGGAAGAGCCGAGCUGGCUCCCUCUGCUCCAAUCUGCCCUCCCUGGGGAGCUCAUUAGUGUGGAAACACCUGCUGGAGAUUCCCAUCAAUCUCAGGCUGCCUCUCUUGGGGAUCCCCACUCCUGGAGGGCUCCCACGGCCUCCCCAAAUUUCAAGGAACAGAUUCCCAGAUAUUUAAGAAUGAAAUGAUUGAACUGCCUCGGUCAAAUUUUGGACUAAGCUGGAGCUGGCUCAUCCCGCCCACGCUGGGUCGCUUUCAGAUGGAUUUAUCCAAGAGAAAAUGAAAUCCUGGAUGUGGCUCCUGCUGGGGGAUCUGUAGGAACCUCAAAUUCCUUGUAAAAUGAAGUCUAAAAUGCAGAUUUCCAGUAGCCAUGAAGAUGGGAAAACAUCAUUCCUGCUCUCAAAAAGGGGAAGAAGGGAAAAUGCAGGGAGCUGCGGACCAGGGAGCCUCAGCUGUGUGUGCAGGAACUUUUCCUGCCCUUUGCAGCCUCGGGAUGGGAAGGAGGUGCCGAGGAGGGAAAAGGGGAAACCUGGGAUUCCAGUCCCUGAGCCUCUGCUCGCUGCUUUAGGGGAAAUCCAAGACCCCAACCCCCGACCCCUCUCCGGGGGAGCCUCUCCCGGCUCUGCUGCCACCCCCAGGACAUCGCAAGGGACAGGGAAGUUCCUGCCCUCCUGGGGAGAUUCCUGUCCUUCAAACCAGGAGAAAGGGAUUCAUCCCUGAUUCUGCAAAGGCCAGGAAGGAGGAAAAUGCAUGAGGGACAGAGCAUCCCUGGCUGGCUGCUGACAGAGCUGCAAGGAGGGGACCCCGAUGUUCUGCUGCCAGCCCGGGCUGCCAGCCCCAAAACCACCGGGGGACUCCGGGGUCCCUGGAAUGUGGGACAGGAAACCCAAAAAGGAAAUUCCAGAGAGCGAUCCCUGAGGAAUUAUUUUAU